AGCGAACGCUGGCGGCAGGCCUAACACGUGCAAGUCGAACGAACCUUUCGGGGUUAGUGGCGGACGGGUGAGUAACACGUGGGAACGUGCCUUUAGGUUCGGAAUAACUCAGGGAAACUUGUGCUAAUACCGAAUGUGCCCUUCGGGGGAAAGAUUUAUCGCCUUUAGAGCGGCCCGCGUCUGAUUAGCUAGUUGGUUGAGGUAAUGGCUCACCAAGGCGACGAUCAGUAGCUGGUCUGAGAGGAUGAUCAGCCACAUUGGGACUGAGACACGGCCCAAACUCCUACGGGAGGCAGCAGUGGGGAAUCUUGCGCAAUGGGCGAAAGCCUGACGCAGCCAUGCCGCGUGAAUGAUGAAGGUCUUAGGAUUGUAAAAUUCUUUCACCGGGGACGAUAAUGACGGUACCCGGAGAAGAAGCCCCGGCUAACUUCGUG
rnacentral:rRNA from 1 species